ACAAGUACCCGUGAGGGAAAGUUGCAAAGCACUUUGAAGAGAGAGUUAAAGAGGACGUGAAACCGAUAAGAUGGAAACGGAUAGAGUCAACGUAUCUAGCCUGUAUUCAGCUGCUCGCCGGUGGUCCGGCCUGCCAAACAAACCCGCUUCUGGUUGGUUGGUGGGUCCGCUCCGAUUGCCGGCCGGGUAGUGCAUUUGCAGGUGGAGUGCGCUGAGAGAUGUGGUUUAGCGAUUGGAUACCUAGCUUUGAGGACGCCUCUCUCGGGAAGCGAAUCCCUGGCUGGUGGAUGAUUGUUUGAGCUGCAUUCUGCCCGAAGGGAAAUGGCCUACGGGUCCGGGUGCCGGCGCGGCUAUCACUGGUGUCGGUCACAUGUGACACGUGCCUGUUGUUGUCGUGUUUGCGCUCGGAUUCUCUUUUCCCAUCUCGGUGUAAAAGUUGGUCAUCUAUCCGACCCGUCUUGAAACACGGACCAAGGAGUUUAGCGUAUGCGCGAGUCAUUGAGUGUUGAAAACUCAAAGGCGUAAUGAAAGUGAAUUGUAAAUGAUAUGCGACCUAUAGCACUGCGGUGUCAUAGAGCAGCAUAGCCCCGUUCCAAUUGCAUGCAAUGGGGCGGAGGUAGAGCGUAUUCGCUGAGACCCGAAAGAUGGUGAACUAUUCCUGAGCAGGAUGAAGCCAGAGGAAACUCUGGUGGAAGUCCGAAGCGGUUCUGACGUGCAAAUCGAUCGUCUGACUUGGGUAUAGCGGCGAAAGACUAAUCGAACUAUCUAGUAGCUGGUUCCUUCCGA
rnacentral:rRNA from 1 species